rnacentral:rRNA from 1 species
CAUGCGGCGUGCUACCAUGCAAGUCGAACGUGAUCCGCCCUUCGGGGUGGUGAAAGUGGCGCACGGGUGAGUAACGCGUGGAUAAUCUGCCCGAGGAUUUGGGAUAACAUCUCGAAAGGGGUGCUAAUACCGAAUAAGCCCACGGGGUCUACGGAUCUUGCGGGAAAAGGGGGGGACCUUCGGGCCUCCUGUCCUUGGAUGAGUCUGCGUACCAUUAGCUAGUUGGUGGGGUAAUGGCCUACCAAGGCGACGAUGGUUAGCUGGUCUGAGAGGAUGAUCAGCCACACUGGAACUGAGACACGGUCCAGACUCCUACGGGAGGCAGCAGUGGGGAAUUUUGCGCAAUGGGGGAAACCCUGACGCAGCAACGCCGCGUGGGUGAUGAAGGCCUUCGGGUCGUAAAGCUCUGUCUGGAGGGAAGAAAUGAUUGGGAGCUAAUACCUCUUGAUCUUGACGGUACCUCUGAAGGAAGCACCGGCUAACUCCGUGCCAGCAGCCGCGGUAAUACGGAGGGUGCAAGCGUUGUUCGGAAUUAUUGGGCGUAAAGCGCGUGUAGGCGGUCUUUUAAGUCUGAUGUGAAAGCCCCGGGCUCAACCUGGGAAGUGCAUUGGAAACUGGGAGGCUUGAGUACGGGAGAGGAGAGUGGAAUUCCUAGUGUAGGAGUGAAAUCCGUAGAUAUUAGGAGGAACACCGGUGGCGAAGGCGGCUCUCUGGACCGAUACUGACGCUGAGACGCGAAAGCGUGGGUAGCAAACAGGAUUAGAUACCCUGGUAGUCCACGCCGUAACGAUGAGUACUAGUGUUGCGGGUAUUGACCCCU